rnacentral:rRNA from 1 species
GACGAACGCUGGCGGCGUGCUUAACACAUGCAAGUCGAACGAUGAAGCAAAGACUCGAAGCUUCGGCAGAAAUUCAUUUCGGAUUAGUGGCAGACGGGUGAGUAACGCGUGAGCAACCUACCUCUUACAAAGGGAUAGCCUCGGGAAACCGGGAUUAAUACCAUAUAACAUUGUGACGAAGCAUUUCGAUGCAAUCAAAGCUACGGCGGUAAGAGAUGGGCUCGCGUCCCAUUAACCGGAUGGUGAGGUAACGGCUCACCAUAGUGACGAUGGGUAACCGGCCUGAGAGGGGGAACGGUCACACUGGAACUGAGACACGGUCCAGACUCCUACGGGAGGCAGCAGUGGGGAAUAUUGCACAAUGGAGGGAACUCUGAUGCAGCGACGCCGCGUGAGUGAUGAAGGAAUUCGUUUCGUAAAACUCUGUUCUAUGGGAAGAAAAGGACUGUACCAUAGGAGAAAGCUCCGGCUAAAUACGUG